CCGUGCACCAAAAUAAGCCACGGACACAGCCGCACCCAAAAAUAACUGCCCGAAGGCCGGGGCGCCAAGUUCAUCCACCGGAAAAAGGCCACAAAAACGGGUGGGCUAUAGCCUUGGGGGGUGGGGCUGGCCCACUUCGUCCGCCGGACUCGGAAUGGCGCGAAUCUUUACGAGGCGCCUCCGUGUGCCAAAAAUAGGCCGUGGGCAAAGCCGCGCCCAAAAAUAUCCGCCCUAAGGCCGGGGCGCCGAGUUCGUCCAGCGGAAAAAGGCCACAAAAACGGGUGGGCUAUAGCCUUGGGGGGUGGGGCUGGCCAACUUCGUCCGCCGGACUCGGAAUGGCGUGAGACAUUGCGAGGCGCCUCCGUGUGCCAAAAAUAGGCUGCGGACAAAGCCGUGCCCAAAAAUAACCACCCGAAGGCCGGGGCGCCAAUUUCAUCCAGCGGAAAAAGGCCACAAAAACGGGUGGGCUAUAGCCUUUGGGGGUGGGGCUGGCCAACUUCGUCCGCCGGACUCCGAAUGGCGCGAGAGUUUGCGAGGCACCUCCAUGUGCCAAAAAUAGGCCGCGGGCACAGCCGCGCCCAAAAAUAACCACCCGAAGGCCGGGGCGCCAAGUUCGUCCCGCGGAAAAAGCCGACAAAAACGGG
rnacentral:lncRNA from 1 species